rnacentral:rRNA from 1 species
GUCGAGAAUUUUUCACAAUGGGCGAAAGCCUGAUGGAGCGACGCCGCGUGGGGGAUGAAGGGCUUCGGCCCGUAAACCCCUGUCAUUCGGGAACAAACCCUGCGCCCUAACAUGGCGCAGGCUGAUAGUACCGGAAGAGGAAGGGACGGCUAACUCUGUGCCAGCAGCCGCGGUAAUACAGAGGUCCCAAGCGUUGUUCGGAUUCACUGGGCGUAAAGGGUGCGUAGGUGGUGGGGCAAGUUCGGUGUGAAAUCUCCGAGCUCAACUCGGAAAUGGCAUUGAAAACUGCCCUGCUUGAGGGUCGGAGGGGAGACUGGAAUUCUCGGUGUAGCAGUGAAAUGCGUAGAUAUCGAGAGGAACACCAGUGGCGAAGGCGAGUCUCUGGACGACUCCUGACACUGAUGCACGAAAGCUAGGGGAGCAAACAGGAUUAGAAACCCUUGUAGUCC